GACGAACGCUGGCGGCGUGCUUAACACAUGCAAGUCGAACGGUGACGAUCAAGCUUGCUUGGUCUGAUCAGUGGCGAACGGGUGAGUAACACGUGAGUAACCUGCCCCUGACUCUGGGAUAACCCCGGGAAACCGGAGCUAAUACCGGAUACGACACGCCCCUGCAUGGGGAGCGUGUGGAAAGUUUUUCGGUCUGGGAUGGACUCGCGGCCUAUCAGCUUGUUGGUGAGGUAAUGGCUCACCAAGGCGACGACGGGUAGCCGGCCUGAGAGGGCGACCGGCAACACUGGGACUGGGACACGGCCCAGACUCCUACGGGAGGCAGCAGUGGGGAAUAUUGCACAAUGGGCGAAAGCCUGAUGCAGCGACGCCGCGUGAGGGAUGACGGCCUUCGGGUUGUAAACCUCUUUCAGCAGGGAAGAAGCGCAAGUGACGGUACCUGCAGAAGAAGCACCGGCUAACUACGUGCCAGCCGCCGCGGUAAUAC
rnacentral:rRNA from 1 species